rnacentral:rRNA from 1 species
CUUUCUUUGCUGGCGACCGGCGCACGGGUGAGUAGCACGUAUCCAACCUGCCCUUUACUCGGGGAUAGCCUUUCGAAAGAAAGAUUAAUACCCGAUGGCAUAAUGAUUCCGCAUGGUUUCAUUAUUAAAGGAUUCCGGUAAAGGAUGGGGAUGCGUUCCAUUAGGUUGUUGGUGAGGUAACGGCCCACCAAGCCUUCGAUGGAUAGGGGUUCUGAGAGGAAGGUCCCCCACAUUGGAACCGAGACACGGUCCAA